GCCAGGCAUGGUGGCUCAUGCCUGUAAUCCCAGCAUUUUGGGAAGCUGAGGUGGGGGGAUUGCUUGAGCCCAGGAGUUUGAGGCUACAGUGAGCUAUGAUUGUGCCACUGCACUUCAGCCUAGGCAACAGAGCAAGAUCUUAUCUUUU
rnacentral:SRP_RNA from 1 species